GCACGGGUUGAUACAUGGAGCCUCCCUCUUUCCCAUUUCCUUGAUCUCUCUCUGGGCAGCUUCUGUGUACUCUGCCCUCUCUCUGUCUCUCGCUCGCUAUAUGAAAGAUGGGCCGUUAUGAAACCAACCACCUCUCAAGUCUCGACCCAUGACCCAAAGCAUUUGAAGUCCUUAUGUUCAAAUGCUUUUCAAACUAGGUCUCUUGAUCUGUUAUAAGUUAAAACUCUAAGUAAUAAGAAUAUUAUAAAUAUAGAAAGAUUUUUAAAAUAUUUAAUUUUGUUUUGCUUUAUUUUUAUUUUUCAAAAAGUUAUUAUAAAUCUUUAUAUAGAAAAUAAACUAGAAAGAGGAGUUGAUUUUAUACCUGCUCCACGUAUAAUAUAUAUUUAUUUUCAGUAUACUACUCAUCUAUUAUUUCUCAUUUUGCAUAAUCCUAGCCAUUAACUUGAAAUGUUAUAUAAGUCAAGAUUUAACUAGUGUUAUGUAUUAGGGUAUGCUUGAUACGUGGGUAAAGGAGUUUUCCACCUCUUUUACUUGUGUUUAUAACAAUUUCAAGGGUACGGAAAAAUUAAUCUAAAGAAGUUUAAGAUUUAAUCUCAAAAGCGGAGUUAAAUGGUAACUUUAUGGAGGGUGGAAGGGGUACAAAAAAUGAUAAUGAUAAGAUUUCAGAAGUAGAAAAUAAUUUUGUCAAUUAUAAGACGACAUUAAUUGUAAUGGGUUUCUUUCAAAAGCAAAAUUAUGAUUUUCGCAUUAGAAAAAUAGUGUAAGAAAAUAAUUUUGGUAGGAGUAACUCUGUAUCAAAUCUUAGACCUAUUCAGUAUCACUGCGAGAAGGAGAAAGCCAAUGAGAAAGCCAAUGUAGAAGAACUGAAGCUAAGGAGCAAGAAGUCUAGAGAUGCUGCGAUUGUACAAAUCAUAAAGAUGUUCUCAUGGUUUAUAGAGGCAAUGAGAUUUUUGAGAAAUUCAUGAAUUUUAGAUUCUGCACUCUCUUUUCAUAUUUGUUUAAGGAAAUAAUGGUUUAAUAUUUAUUAAAAAAAAUAAUGGAAAUUUUAUCACACAACAACACUGAGGAAGUACAAUCAGAUAUGAGAUUUCCUUAUCUGUGGUCUUUUU